GACACCAUUUUCUGUCCUAUAUCCGCAAAGGAUGGGGACGACAAUUUGUGACCCSACGCAGACGUGCCCUCGRCCAAAAGGCGUAGGGCGCAACUUGCGUUCAAAGACUAGAUGGUUCGCGGGAUUCUGCUGUUCUCACCAAGUAUCUCAAUUCCCACCCUUCUUCAUCGAUGCCAGAGCCCACAUAUCCGUUACCAAGAGUCCUUAUAGACUUUCUUGUGGWGCAUUGCUUAAGCCCACACACCGUCUCCGGGGUGACCAAGGGUGGCUGCUUACUUCUUUGUUCCUAGGCCCUUUUCGCGCGGGGGUUUUGUGAUAUCCGCCCCCUCCUUUCAUGAUCCGACAAAGAAAUCGUGAUCUGCUCUGUACCCGAAACCACUUAAUCRAAAUGYGA
rnacentral:misc_RNA from 1 species